rnacentral:rRNA from 1 species
GACGAACGCUGGCGGCGUGCUUAACACAUGCAAGUCGAACGGAGAGGCCCUGCUUUUGUUGGGUGCUCGAGUGGCGAACGGGUGAGUAACACGUGAGUAACCUGCCCUUGACUUUGGGAUAACUUCAGGAAACUGGGGCUAAUACCGGAUAGGAGCUCCUGCUGCACGUUGGUGGUUGGAAAGUUUCGGCGGUUGUGGAUGGACUCGCGGCUUAUCAGCUUGUUGGUGGGGUAGUGGCUUACCAAGGCUUUGACGGGUAGCCGGCCUGAGAGGGUGACCGGCCACAUUGGGACUGAGAUACGGCGCAGACGGCUACGGGAGGCAGCAGGGGGGAAUAUGGCGCAAUGAGCGGAAGCGUGAGGCAGCAACGCCGCGUGCGGGAUGACGGCCUUCGGGUGAUAAACCGCUUUCGCCUGUGACGAAGCGGGAGUGACGGUAAUGGGUAAAGAAGCACCGGCUAACUACGUG